CCAGACUCCUACGGGAGGCAGCAGUGGGGAAUAUUGCACAAUGGGGGAAACCCUGAUGCAGCAACGCCGCGUGAGUGAGGAAGUAUUUCGGUAUGUAAAGCUCUAUCAGCAGGGAAGAAAGAAAUGACGGUACCUGACUAAGAAGCCCCGGCUAACUACGUGCCAGCAGCCGCGGUAAUACGUAGGGGGCAAGCGUUAUCCGGAUUUACUGGGUGUAAAGGGAGCGUAGACGGCAGUGCAAGUCUGAAGUGAAAGGCGGGGGCCCAACCCCCGGACUGCUUUGGAAACUGUGCUGCUGGAGUGCAGGAGAGGCAAGUGGAAUUCCUAGUGUAGCGGUGAAAUGCGUAGAUAUUAGGAGGAACACCAGUGGCGAAGGCGGCUUACUGGACUGUAACUGACGUUGAGGCUCGAAAGCGUGGGGAGCAAACAGGAUUAGAUACCCUGGUA
rnacentral:rRNA from 1 species